rnacentral:rRNA from 1 species
UACGAAGGGUGCAAGCGUUACUCGGAAUUACUGGGCGUAAAGGGUGCGUAGGGGGUUUGUUAAGUCUGCUGUGAAAUCCCCGGGCUCAACCUGGGAAUGGCAGUGGAUACUGGCAAGCUAGAGUGCGGUAGAGGGUAGUGGAAUUCCCGGUGUAGCAGUGAAAUGCGUAGAGAUCGGGAGGAACACCAGUGGCGAAGGCGGCUACCUGGACCAGCACUGACACUGAAGCACGAAAGCGUGGGGAGCAAACAGG